UAAAGUGCACGAUUUAUGAAU
ensembl:piRNA 21ur-3746 ncRNA